GUGCUUGCUUUGGUGGCACAUAAACUAAAAUUGGAACAAUACAGAGAGAUUAGCAUGGACCUUGUGCAAGGAUGAUAUGCAAAUUCUUGAAGUGUUCCAUAUUAAA